GCUUCAUUUGACUCAACACGGGGAAACUCACCAGGUCCAGACAAAAUAAGGAUUGACAGAUUGAGAGCUCUUUCUUGAUCUUUUGGAUGGUGGUGCAUGGCCGUUCUUAGUUGGUGGAGUGAUUUGUCUGCUUAAUUGCGAUAACGAACGAGACCUCGGCCCUUAAAUAGCCCGGUCCGCAUUUGCGGGCCGCUGGCUUCUUAGGGGGACUAUCGGCUCAAGCCGAUGGAAGUGCGCGGCAAUAACAGGUCUGUGAUGCCCUUAGAUGUUCUGGGCCGCACGCGCGCUACACUGACAGGGCCAGCGAGUACAUCACCUUGGCCGAGAGGUCUGGGUAAUCUUGUUAAACCCUGUCGUGCCGGGGAUUGGGG
rnacentral:rRNA from 1 species